UGUUGUCCAUUUGAGAAGACAAUAUUAGGCCAUAGAGAAGAACAUCAUCAAGAUGAUGGGUUUUGAAAGGAGAUCACCUGGGAUCUCAACAAGACAGGACUAGAAUGACUUUGAGAAGCCACCAAAUCACUGCAGCAACAACAAUCACAGCAAUAGCUACAACAACAGCUACAGCAACAAUACAGGACUUCCAGAGGCGGGGAUAUGGAGCAUCAGCAUCUGUGUUUCUCCUCCUCUCCCGGGUCAAGUAGGAAUACCAAAGGAGAUCACCUGGGACCACUACAAGACAGGACUAGAACAAAUUUUGGAAUCCACCAAAUCACUGAGGUCUUCACAACUCCAGGCUGACUUUUUCAAAGAGAGGGGGAAGAACAGAGGAAGAGAGGAGAAGACAUCAUAUAACUAGAGUUUUCCCUCAGUGUGGUGCAGGUCAGGUUCAAACGUAAGCCAUGUUCAUGACAAAGCAGAUACACUCUCAGGAUACAAGGAAAGGAAUCAACAGGCAAACGAAGAAAAAGAAGCACAGGGGACAGAAGACACAAAGUAAAAUCUGGAUUGAGUGUGGUGUAUUGAACCGAAGCAAAAGACUCUGGG